rnacentral:tRNA from 1 species
GGUGGCUCAGUGGUAGAGUGCUUGCCUUGCAUGCAUGAGGCCCUGGGCUCAAUCCCUCAGCACCA